UAGGGAAUCUUCGGCAAUGGGGGCAACCCUGACCGAGCAACGCCGCGUGAGUGAAGAAGGUUUUCGGAUCGUAAAGCUCUGUUGUAAGAGAAGAACGUGUGUGAGAGUGGAAAGUUCACACAGUGACGGUAACUUACCAGAAAGGGACGGCUAACUACGUGCCAGCAGCCGCGGUAAUACGUAGGUCCCGAGCGUUGUCCGGAUUUAUUGGGCGUAAAGCGAGCGCAGGCGGUUUAAUAAGUCUGAAGUUAAAGGCAGUGGCUUAACCAUUGUUCGCUUUGGAAACUGUUAAACUUGAGUGCAGAAGGGGAGAGUGGAAUUCCAUGUGUAGCGGUGAAAUGCGUAGAUAUAUGGAGGAACACGGGUGGCGAAAGCGGCUCUCUGGUCUGUAACUGACGCUGAGGCUCGAAAGCGUGGGGAGCAAACAGG
rnacentral:rRNA from 1 species